rnacentral:tRNA from 1 species
GGGGAUAUAGCUCAGCUGGGAGAGCGUCCGCCUUGCACGCGGAAGGUCGCAGGUUCGAACCCUGUUAUCUCCACCA